UGGCUUGGCCGCAAUCGAGGGAGUUUUCUUCGUAAAACAUUGACUGGGAAGAGUACCAUAUCACCCCAUACAUUAAUUAUGCAUUCAGACUAGUAGACUUUGUUUUUAAAGUUUUGUCGUGAAAGACAAAGAAGUGGAAUGCACAAUUAAUGGUGAGGUUACAUGGUACUCUUUCCCCAUUGACUUUCUUGGAAAAUUGUUCACAUGAAAGACAAAUCCAUUCAUCGGGCUCCUCGUCAAUUUUUGCACAACACCGAAAGGAAGAAAGUCGCGGAUUACUUUAAUUUCGCUUGGCAAAUUUUAACAACUCUACUGUACCUGAAAAAAGGAAAUACUUACGUGCAAGAAGCUGAGAUAUAACUUAUUCACUUUUACUAUUUUUAUCAUCCGAUUACAGGUCGGAGCCAUUCCUGUCUUUAGUCGCUCCAAUUGGAGCGACUAAAUACAGGAAUGGCUCCGGUCUCUGAUCGUUCGCCUGAACUGAGCCCAGACUGACCAAUUGAGUUUAGUCAGAGGAAUUUGUCAGCGGAUAACUUAGUCAUCGCCGGAUCACCGUUGAACUACCUCGCAGAACAAGAAAGGCCCAUCCCCUCGUUAUGUCCUGAUCCAACAAGCAGCUGGACGGCCUUACGGCAAAGCACCAUACUACCUAGCAAGUUUUCAGAAGGAAUUCAGUACCAAGUCGUUACCU
rnacentral:misc_RNA from 1 species